rnacentral:rRNA from 1 species
UACGUAGGCAGCAAGCGUUGUUCGGAAUUACUGGGCGUAAAGAGUGUGUAGGCGGUGCUCUAAGUUUGGUGUGAAAUCUCCCGGCUCAACUGGGAGGGUGCGCCGAAAACUGGAAUGCUUGAACGUGGGAGAGGAAAGCGGAAUUCCUGGUGUAGCGGUGAAAUGCGUAGAUAUCAGGAGGAACACCUGUGGCGAAAGCGGCUCACUGGACCAUAACUGACGCUGAUGCACGAAAGCUAGGGGAGCAAACAGG